rnacentral:rRNA from 1 species
UAGGGAAUCUUCGGCAAUGGACGAAAGUCUGACCGAGCAACGCCGCGUGAGUGAAGAAGGUUUUCGGAUCGUAAAACUCUGUUGUUAGAGAAGAACAAGGACGUUAGUAACUGAACGUCCCCUGACGGUAUCUAACCAGAAAGCCACGGCUAACUACGUGCCAGCAGCCGCGGUAAUACGUAGGUGGCAAGCGUUGUCCGGAUUUAUUGGGCGUAAAGCGAGCGCAGGCGGUUUCUUAAGUAUGAUGUGAAAGCCCCCGGCUCAACCGGGGAGGGUCAUUGGAAACUGGGAGACUUGACUGCAGAAGAGGAGAGUGGAAUUCCAUGUGUAGCGGUGAAAUGCGUAGAUAUAUGGAGGAACACCAGUGGCGAAGGCGGCUCUCUGGUCUGUAACUGACGCUGAGGCUCGAAAGCGUGGGGAGCAAACAGG